rnacentral:misc_RNA from 1 species
GAUGAAGAACGCAGCGAAAUGCGAUACUUGGUGUGAAUUGCAGAAUCCCGUGAACCAUCGAGUCUUUGAACGCAAGUUGCGCCCGAAGCCAUUAGGCCGAGGGCACGCCUGCCUGGGCGUCACACGUCGUUGCCCCCCCAUCUACUCCUUCGGGAUUGCGGGGGGCGGAUGAUGGCCUCCCGUGCGCCUCGUCGCGCGGUUGGCAUAAAUGCCAAGUCCCCGGCGACGCACGCCACGACAAUCGGUGGUUGCGAAACCUCGGUUGCCCGUCGUGUGCGGUCGUCGCGCAUCGAGGGCUCGAAAAAAUUGCCGGGCUCCGGCUCGGCUUUCAACGCGACCCCAGGUCAGGCGGGGUUACCCGCUGAAUUUAAGCAUAUCAAUAAGCGGAGGA